rnacentral:lncRNA from 1 species
UGAAGCUGGAGAUGAUUAAAAUAUGUAGAUUUGGAGGGGUAUUGUUCCUUAAAUCAAGGGUAAGAAAGAAAAGGAAGAAAGAGAUGAUAGUCAUUUAAGGGGGGCCCUAAACUCAUUGACUGUGGUGGUGGGGAAGACAAAGAGAACCACCCCAACGUGUGAAACAAAAAGGCCUCUCUUCUUGGCCCCCACAACCCCCCCCCUUCCCUUUGAAAAAACAAACAAUAUUAACGGGAAAUGCUCGUCGUCUUCUUGGGAACUCCCUUUUCUCUCUCUCUCUCUCUCUCCUUUCUCUAUCUAUUAAUUUCUAUGCUCUUUCUCUUCCUUUGAUUCUGCUCCUUUUCACUACUUCUGGUUUCACUUCAGUUUUACUAGCCAAAAGAAGAAGCGGAAAAGGCCAUGAAGAAGAAGAAGAAAUAUGGGACGGUGCUGCUGCUUAUGUACAAGGGCUUUGUGCAUGGGGUUUUUGAAUUUUCUUUUGCAGAAUGAGGCUCUCAUUCUAUGAUCUCUCAUGGGUUUUGCUUAGAGAAAGGAAUCGUUUCCGGCAAAGAAUUCAUUGGAGACUCUAGUUUCCGGCGUACAUGGGAAAGCCAGGCAUUGCUCUUCUUCUUCUUCUUCUUCUUCUUCUCCCCCUCCUCCUCCUUCCGUCGCUCUUUUUCUUUCCUUGAUAUGUAUUUUUUCUCUUUAUUUUUUCUUAAAUCAUGUAUUCAGACAACUUUACCAGAGAGAAGAAAAAAAAAACAUGUAAACUGCCUCUAGACCUUCUUCAAGGAAGAUUCACAGAAAUGAAAUAAGAUUUGACUGGUUUUGCCUGGUCUCUCUGUCCCAUUCUUCUGAUCAUUCAUCUCAGGCUUCUUCCUCAGUGAUUUCAUAUCGAAGUUUCUUUUUCUUCUUCUUCCUUCUUUGAUCUUUCAAUUUUCUAAACCCAACAUUUAAGAGUAUAUGUUGAAGGUC